GACAGAGGUGCCAAGCGUUAGGCGGAAUCACUGGGCUUAAAGAGCGUGUAGGCGGCCAGGUAGGUCUGCUGUGAAAACUCGAGGCUUAACCUCGAGAUGUCGGCGGAAACCAUCUGGCUAGAGUCCGGAAGAGGAGAGUGGAAUUCCUGGUGUAGCGGUGAAAUGCGCAGAUAUCAGGAAGAACACCCGUGGCGAAGGCGGCUCUCUGGGACGGUACUGACGCUGAGACGCGAAAGCGUGGGGAGCGAACAGG
rnacentral:rRNA from 1 species